CUAAGUCCAAGCUCCCGCCCGAUCCACGAUAAGGUUCUCACCUAUGAGCGAAUAGGAACACAACAGAGCGCCGGGCGGUGUGUGUGUGUGCGUUCAUGUCCGAUGCAGGUCUGGUGGCUGGUGCCGCCGGUGGCUGGGUGGUGUCUCUAGGCGGUUGCUUGCUGCGGGGGUGGUUGAGGAGGUUAGAGUGGACUGGAAAUGACCGUGCGUGUAUGUGUGGUACAUGUUUCCAUGGCAGCCUGACCGAGGCAACUGUGCAUGUGCUUUGUGCAAUGGUUACACGUGGAAUAUGCGCGCGGUAGCGCGUGGGUUCGUGUACUCUUGGAUUUUGAAUGGGACCCAUGGACAGCUGCCUGGGGCGUGGCGCUGCAGCUGCCCCACGCACUCACGCAGCAUGUAUUCACUUCCUCGUGCCCACACGCCCGCACGGCCGCCCGCCCAGGCGCCCCCCAAGCUGGUCGCCCGCCUGGCAGCCAGCACCGGGCAGGUGGCGGUCCGGCUGCUGGCGCUCAAGGAGCUGUUCCCGCAGGUGGGUACCGUAGUGCUGAGUGGGUGGGCAGGCGGGCGGGUGCACGGGCUCGGGAGGUCAGGCGGCUGUGGGAUCUUCACGAAUGCUGAAGUGCCACCUCCUCGUUAUCUUCGUCCCUCGCUCACCCACCUACGCCAUCCACCUCUCGCUUCACAUGAGUUGCCCCCGACAGCUCAACAACUGUAUGCCUGGUUGCGGCGGUUUGUCUGGUAGUCCCCCCUACCGGUUACCCCUCCUCCCCCGUGUCCGCCUGGCCCUCUGCCCCCUCCCCCUCCCCCCACUACCGGUAAAUUAUGAAUGUAACCCCCCACCCUGCUGCGGCGCAGGCCAACCUCAGCGCCAUGGUCAACAACCGGCUGGGGCUGCUGCUGGACGACGACACGGCGCAGCUGCAGGCGGCCGCGACACGGCUGAGGCAGCUGCUGCCGGACAUAAACGUGGACAAGUGGGUUGGGCAGGGCGUGGCGUAAAACCUUGUGCAAGCCUGUUUGGUGGGAAGCUCCUUUUUCCGGCCGCUGCCGAUGGGCCCUUCACUACCUGGGGCGCCUUAUGCUGUCGGCUUGUCGCCAGUUGCAAAUUGCAAUUGUAUGGCGCGCGAUUGCAGGUUCGUUGAGACUUUCCCGCUGGUUCUAGACGUGGAGUGCUUUGAGAUGGCGCUGGAGGACGCCAAACGCAUCAUGCCAGGCAUCAAUGUACGAGCAGAGUGUGGGGACCGGGUUCCGAUCCCAACACGUAGGGAUGGGCAUGAAGCGGAUACCAUACACAUUAUUGUAGUGUCACCUCUCGCCAUUGUUUCUACUCCGGAUGCUGCACCGCGCUGAAGCAGCCACCACAACUGAAGACCCCCACGUCGACCCCCGACCGCGCCUGCCUCAACCCCGCAGGUCACGUCCAUGCUGCGCAACAACCCUGACGUCAUCCUGUCUCUGGUCAAGGGCAAGAACCUCAUUCCCUACGACCAGAUCUCCAACCCCUGGGCGUGAGGCGGCGCGGCUGGUGGCGCUCGUGUCAGUGGUGCACGGGUGCGGCAGGCGAAGGGGGGAGGGCGGGGGGUGGCCGGUUGCGCGGCAGGACGACUGAAGGUCGACCAAGCUGCAGCGGCCGCCAUGGCCGCCGGCGGCGGCGGGGCCGGGCUGAGAGCCUGAACGGCGCUAGCAGGGCGUGGGGCUGAGGGUGCACAUGUCGAUUGGCGGCGAGUGACGUGACUAGUUUGUUAGCUGCGGGUUAGCACGGACUGUGCACCCCACCCAACCGGCCACGUCCGGAUUUGCGGGGAUGCCAAAGGCCCCCAACAUAGAGGCGUGUGCUUAGUAGGCGCCCGCGUCAAGGUGGCUGGGUUGAUAACGACCCGGGAGGGGAGGGCUCAGCCCUUUUCCUGCCUCCCUAAGGCAGCCACCUCCUUGUUUGAGUUCCGAGCUGCAGUUCAGGUGGUGCGAAGGCCGCGAAGCACCCCUGUCCGCAUCAAACUUGCAUUGCGCAAACCGCGAGUGUAAUGUAUCAGUAUGUGGUGAAGCCUGCUCGGCGCCAGCGCGCAGUUUGAGACCUUCCGGUGUCUGGUUGGCGGCCUAUGCUGGCGAGCAUAGCGUGGCACGGUGUGUGGUAAAAAUUGUUGCUGUUGGGUUUGAUGCCGUGGUUUGUUGCCUGCUCUGCAUGUGCUUGACAGCGGGACGCGGCUGGGGGGCGGUGCCUACACAAAUCGACCCCCGCUCUGCCCGGGAGACGAAUUAGAUGCUUGCGGCCUCAGACGGGAGACAUGGCGUUUCUUGUCGUGACUUAGAAGGAUGGAUGGAACAGGGGCAGGGGCAGGUUAGCGUAGUCAAAUGCGACGUCAAGGCAUUGCGCGCGCGGUAGUACUGCCGUGGCAUGAAAGGAAUACCGGUAUGUUGCAUGUUGUUGUGUGGCUGGCAGCAUGCUCGGCUGGCGGACGCCUGGCGACUCCAGCUGGAGAGGAGGCGCUGUACAGGGGCAUGAGAUGUGUACACACCAGCCGCCACACAAUCCCCUACCAGCAGCCCUGACCUGUACGGCUGUACGCCGUGCACGGCCACGCGCCCAUGUCAAGUGUCACGGCCCGGGGGGACGAUCACGGUACGGCCAUCACCCAGCAAAGGUGGGGCGGGAAUGAGAUAGGCUCUUUGGGCUGGACUCGAAAGCGCAAGUUGCACAAAUAGGCGCACAAAUUGGAUUCUGAGCUGUGGAGGUGUAACCCUGGGGGAUGCGUCAGCUGCACUGCAAUGAGUCAGGGUCCUGCGGAUGGUCCGGGAAUGGGGAUUUGACGCUGUUGCAUUACACGGCUGUUGUUUCUGCCAAAUUCACUCAUGCCACCACCGCGAUUCCGCGAACACCGACGAUAGCCACUACUAUGCACCUCAUCUGCGUCCACCGAUUCCCUGCUGACGCCGGCGCUGGUGUUCCACCCUAAAGCUGUCAUAGCCCCCCCUCGCACUGCAUUCCUGGGGUGGGCGACGAAUCUUUGACUACUGGGACCUAUUUCGUUGGGCACAUACCCCUCCCCACACACACACAGAGGCACAGAGGCACAAGAUACAGGGCACAGAAUGCUGUGUCAAGUACGGCGUGCAAAUCGGCCACGGACGGGAGGAAGGUGGGAGCGCCACCGGCACCGCUACUCCUACUGCCUGCUGUUCAGUCGCCGUGUGGGCGUGACCGGGCGUGACGGCGUGCCUCCUCCCCCCCCUCCGAUAACCUCCGAUAGCCACAGGUAGCGACCGUAACGCCUUCAAACCAAGUAUAACAUGUGCGGCAAGAGGCCGCCUUUGAAUGUAAGCCGAGCCCUAUGUGAACCCCAAUCCUGCCCGUCGCUGUCUGUCGGCCUCUCCCCCAUCCCCUCCCGCCAAUCAACCAGUCAGCUCGAACUCCCCCACCAGGCACCAGGACUGCAGACUCUUGUCCGCAACCGGCGUGUACCAUACCGCCAAGCUGUCCACCUGGGCGUUGGGGCAGUGCAGGGCAGGGCAGUGCAGUGCAGGGCAGGGCAGGGCAGGGCAGGACGUGGAGCAAGGCAGGAGCUGGAGCAGAGGGGCAGAAGGCACACACGCCGCUGCGACAGGCGCACAGGACCCUGUCGGGUGUCUGGUGCGGCCAGAGGCCGUUGCGAGGAGCCGCAUCAUCUCCAGGCCUGCACUCAAGCGCUGUGUCUAACCGGCAUGUCGUAAAACUCACCCCCACUCACCUGGUACCCGUUCUCCACCAGCAGGGUGUCGUAGCCGGACGACUCGCCGUACAGCCGCGCGGUCUCGUACUCCACAGCCUGAGGGCAAGGGGGGAAGGGGCGGAGGGGUUACGAGGCCUGGCGGGUCAAGACUCGGGAGGCAAGCCGGCAGCCUCGUGCGCAUCCAUUGGAAGGUGGGACGCCACCGUGUCACCAACUACUGCGCGGACCCCCACCACGCUUCGUAGGCUGGCUUUGAGUUCUGGGCUUUAGUUGAUUCGGGCCUGGCAUUGACAAAGCGCCCAUCCCCACCUUGGCACGCUCCUCCUGGGGGAUGUCUGAGUACAGCAGGGACAGGUGCGGCAUGUAGGGGCCUGUGGUGAUGCCGAACACCUCGCGGGCGGUGGCGGCAGCGGCCAUGGCUCCCUCGUCCUUGGCCACGCUCAGGUACACGCACUGGUAGUAGAUGGAGCCCCGAGUCACGUCCGUGAAGUUAAUGCGGUACUUCUGUGGGUGUCGGGCAGGGUAGGGCACAUGAAGGGUCCUUAGGAGUGUUGCGGAAGUCAGCAGACACUUCCCAGCCCGAACCUGUGGCGUGUCUGCACGCCGAUGCCCCCGACCUGCAUCCGCUGCACAGCCUUACAGUCCUUUGCCAGGCCCAUAGUCGCAUUCGUGCUUGGUCUGGUAGCCUUGCUGCUGCGCUCAUCAUCACCCACCCCACCCCACACAACCCAAUCCCUACCCUCUCCCACCCAUCCCCGCCCCACCCCCACUCCACGACCGCCCCCUCACCUUGACCUUCUUUGCCAGCUCCGCCGCUACCGCCAGCACCUCCUGCCGUCCGCCCGGCCGCUCGAUGUCGCCCAGCACAGUGGUGUGCGGCGGGAAGACGGGCGCGCCGUGCCGCGCCGCCAGGUGCGCGAUCUCCGCCUUGAGCUGCUCGCCCAGCCGCCCCUUGGGCUGGGCCCACAGCGAAUACUGGUCGCGUAGGGCCGGAGCGCCGCCAUCCUCGGGAGUCGACAUGCUGCCUGCGCGGUUAUGAGUGUGGGUCUGUGCACUUCAGGCAGGCAGGCAAUAGCACACGGGGCGGUGCCUAGGGCUGCUGCACAGCCGAAGGCCAGCGAGUCGGCAAGGUGGGCGGUACUAUGCAGUCAUGCCGACUCGCAGCAUGCUCACCCGACGCGCACACACGCAAGGGAUGUGCUAGCGAGGUGCCCUGGUGUCCCCGCAGACGGUGCUGGUCAGACCGCGCGCCUGCCUUAGCAGCUCCGUCUGCUACGGAUGUCACAAGAGCCUGAGGUCUCCGGAAACUGUCCCCAAGGUCAAAGGCAGCAGAUCACAUCACGGAUCAGGCACGUAUGCAUGGUGCUUCGUACGGGGACGUCCCAUGGCGGGCAGGUGCAUUGUGUGUGUGUGUGUGUGUGUGUGUGUGUGUGUGUGUGUGUGUGUGCGUGUGUGUGUGUGUGUGUGUGUGUGUGUGUGUGUGUGUGUGUGUGUGUGUGUGCGUGCGUGUGUGUGCUCCUGCGCCGGGCCCAACUGCUGGGCCCGGCUGGAUGUUCUGCACGUAUCUCCGGACCAUGCUGCCACCUGCUUGCUUGCAGCUCCCACAUAGAUGUGUGAGGCUUACGAUCUUAGACAUGCGCGGUCUAUGCCUGACUCACAGGCUAAGCCCUCGCUGGGAGGAGCUGCUACUGCUGCCGGCGCUGAACGCGUACAGGCCGCACCCAAGCAGCGCGAGCCCGCACAGCAGCAGCACGCAGGCGCUAGAACGCGCUGGAGACGGCAUUGUGCGAGGAGCCGGAGGUGGGGAAGACGGGGGUGGCGCCGAGGGAGGCGAUUGGGAUGGGACGAGUUCUUCAGGUGGCGGGGUGGGGCGUCGGACACGCAUACUACGGGAGGUGGUGGUGACGGAGGUGGUGGCAGCUGCAGGGCGAUGAGCGCAUGGCACGGGCGAGGACCGGACUCAUGAGAACGGACCUAUUGCCAAGCUCCAAAGGCCCAACCUGCUGGGACGACGCGCACCCCAGAUGGCCCUGGCAAAACGCUUACCUGCCGACUGCUCGCGCACGCACUAAACCCUGAAGAACCGGGCUUGCACUUGGCGCUAAACAGCGAGCUGGAGAUAAGUGCGCCAGCGGAACACGAGCGAAGGUUCACCAAGAAUGUGCCGCGAAAAAGUACCCAACCAGAGAGGUAUCUGCUCCAAGACACUUGAGAUAAUGAAAUGUGUGAAAAUAACAAGGCAAAUUAUCAUGUGCACAUGAUGAGUACGCGCGCGUGCGCCUUGCCACUGCCCCUGGCCCGCUGCAUGGGCUGCAUCCGUUAAGGGUUCCUUGGCAUCCGUUCCAGAGGGAUGCAGACCAGGCUCGCGGAACAAAUCCAGCGACAGGGGCCUGGGCACACAUCCUGAGCCGCGAGCUAUCCCUCGGCGGUCCGGCUGCCAUAGGUUAUAGCUGCCGUGGGGGCAGGGUCGCAAUCCCGGCCGGGCGACAUCCGCAUCCUGGCGGGGCGACAUCCACAUCCUGCCGGGGCGACAUCCACAUCCUGGCCGGGUGGCAGCCACAUCCUGGCCGGGCGGCGUACUUGAAUCCUUCAAUCCCACAACGUCUGGUCGAUUGCAGUAGUUAACACCCGCAUACUGUCAAAGUACUGCUGAUUUAUUGAACCAUUCUUGUGCCCACAACCUGCCCGCACCGCCCAACCGAUCCCCGAUAAGAACUGUCACUCGUUGUUGUCUCAUGACAUCAUACGUGGAACCCAUCACGGGAUCAUUGGAUCACGCACGCACGGGUGGCCCGGCGGGUGUAGACUCGUUUUGGGGGGCGUGGGGUUCUGUGGGGUUAGGACCAUGUGGCGUCGUGCAUGCCAAACUGACCCGGCUACGGACACAGAGCCGCCCAUUCGUAUUAAGUUCAUCGCCCAAGCUAUGGACCUAGACAGGGCUGGGGCUGCAAAGGCCUGAAGGCUGAAGCCAUUUGGAGGACCUACUUCUGCUGGGACAAAUGGCCAGAAAUGGCUUGCAUGCGUAUUGAAACAGACUAUACAUAGCAUGCAGUUUGCGCGAUCGUUCCCGGGCGACGGGGUUGGGCUAGGGCAGGGCCAGGAGCCAAUGGCUCCUUCACGCGAAAACACCUCCACACCGCCAGGGUGACACAAAAAGCUUUAUAGGAACGGCUAAUGUAUCCGUUUAGCUGAAGGCUUGUAACUAUGUUGGAGUCCAGCCAGUACAUGGUGAAACGGGCCUGAACGGGCUCAACCGGGACUUACGGGACUAUCUAGGCUUCGGACUCGGCUUCGUGGUUGUAGAAGAUGAUCAAGUGAUCGAAAGACGGAGUGGUGGCCACGCAAACGGUCCGCAUGAACCAUUCGCCCGCCACGCACGAUCCGCAGGUCAAGUCCGCAGAACCCCGGGCUAAUCGCCCGUGGGCUUUGUACGCGGGUGGUCUUGCGCCACGAUGCCGGAGUUGGGUGCCGGAGUCACAUCAAGGUCGCAAGAUCGAAACCCAUCAGGAACGGUUCGGCUCCGUUACCUGUGUAGGCACUGAACAUACUUGUGCCGAACAUCCCCGAACGAGCGCCAUCUCGGCCUUCCUAGGUCGCUGCUCUACGGGUGAGGACGCUGGUGCGGCGGGUUCUGAUGGUUUCCCCGCGAGAGCUAUCCUGCUUUAUAGAAGCCGGUCUGCGAGCCAGUUGGCGCUGAUGCGCCGGGGCAGGAGGAGGCCCCUGAUUAGGGAAUGCGCGUCACCCAGCGCCGAUCUGCGAGCCCGUGUUUCGAGGCGUUACCGUGGCCCAGUAUGGCCGAUGGUUGCAGACAACCCCCCUCCCCCACAUACCUAAUCGCGGCCGGGCCCAAUCGCCAGCAAUUCUGACUUGAAACUAUUCCUGUGACUCAAGUAAACAUUAGAAUUGCUUGGCCUGACCAAAUGGACGAGGCCGACUGGCGUCAAGUGGGGGUCGGCAUCCUAUGGGGAGCGACGCGACCGGAACUCGACCCAGACCAAACCGCGAAUGCAGUGACUUAAAGUACAAUAUGUUAAGGUAUAAAUGCUGGCAGCAGCCCGAGUCUGUGCGUUUGUGGCCAAGUUGAUAAAAGUUAAGAAAGAGCCAAAGAAAACACACGAGGAGUAGGUAGAUGUCUUCUAUAGUGUAAUAAACACUUGUCUUGCAUGGCGAACCCAGGAACGGAGACGACGGGGAAGCGUGUGCGAGGGCGCAGGGUCCCUGGGUCAGCGGCAGCUUUGGCGGGAAUCGGCUGGAUCCAACACCUCCCGACCGCCCCCCGCAAACCGUAUGGCCCGGACACGCCGAAUGUAUGGUAGACUUUAGCAGUGAUAACCAACGUAUGUGUGCGUAUGCGCGCGUGAAAGGAAUAGGACUUCUGACGUCUGGCGGUGUGCCGCCUGUGGGCUAUGGGCCGCGUAACGAAGCAGAAAGCUAGGCUGCGGCAGCAUGCCAAGCGAGUCAGGCCAAACAGCUACAGAAGGGUUUGUCAGCUGGCCCAGGCGAGGCGCGAGGGGCGCGCGGAAGCAGCUGUCGCUGCCGCGGCCGCAGCAGCUGUGGCGGCAUCAGCGGACUUGCUGGAGCCUGCUGGCUGCCCACCGCGCUGCAUGCUCUGGCUGCUAGUGUUGCUAAUGAAUUAAGGGCUAGUCGGGGUGUGUUAUUAGCGAGUGUGCACUUGGGAAUCUGUGAACCUCCGGGAUGAUGGGCGCGAGACUUCGACCUAACGAGUGCCGAGGAGUUGAAAGAUGUGUUUGUUCAUCGAAAAAUGCUACGCAGCUCACAGCGGGAGGAAUUUCGAGUGUUUCAGUGACGGAUUGAGGCAACAUGCAGACUCGGGCUGUGCGCAACGGGCUUAUAGCUUAAACGUAUAACAUUGCACUAAAUGUACUCGUUGCAAGUUUCAGAACUUAGAAAGGUGCAGCGACGCGAUUGAUCGGUCCUGCCCAUGGACCUCUGCGGACUUGACCGCAGGUGUGCAGUGACCCCCACGAGUGGCAUCCCUAAUGCGUCUGGGUGCCAUCUUAAGUGCGUGCGGGCGCAAUCCUUAGUCCAUCCGGGCGACAUCCUACUGCCGUCCCUGCCCCCCGGGGCGACAUCCUACUGCCGCCCCUGCCCCCCGGGGCGACAUCCUACUGCCGUCCCUGCCCCCUGGGGCGAUAUCCUACUGCCCCCCCUGCCCCCUGGGGCGACAUCCUACUGCCCCCCCUGCACCCAGGCGAGCCCAAAUUAGUAGCUCCGGAUCACAUCGCGUGCCCAGCUGCUGGGCGGUAGCGACAUACUCUGCAUCCCUCCGUCCGUUCCUCCCGCCUGCUCCCGCUGCCGUGCCCUACGCCGCGACAUGCAAUUCGUGGACUUCUCGUGGACUUCUCGUGGACGAUUAGUUACAUGUAAGCAUUACAGAUUGGGUACUUCUAGCUUAGCUUAUCGUGCCCAGGUAAACACCGGCGCGCGUGGAUGCCGCGAGGCGCAAACACACGGUGCGCCUGAAGCCGCCCAGGACAGGCUGCUGCCUCCCCCUGCUCGCGCCCUACUAUACUUCCAGCAUCUAAGCGGAUCCAGUGGUGCACCCAGCGGAACCGGACUACCGUCUACCGGAGUACUUCCAGACGCGCUCCUUCAGCAAGGCCCGAAUGCACCCCUGCCCGAAUGGGCGUAGGUUGCUGGCAAAAUUUGGAUAUAAGGGUAGUGGGAAAAAGAGGGGGAAGGGGAAAGGGUACGCGCGCGCGGAGCGCAGGGGGAAAACACAAUUACCUUCUAACAUACGUGGGCUCAACGCACUCGUCAGCUGCGUUUCCCGCGGCAGAGCUUCUAGUCGUCAGCUCACACCGAGGCACAACGCGCACGCGUUCCUGCGCAAGCCCUGACUUGGGCCAUAGUAUGCCGUUUACAUCAAGCUGUAAGCUGGGACGACGCUGGGCCAAGGGCGUAACAGGGCGUAACACCCGUAACUGCGUCGCUGCUGUCGGAUGGCUGGCGCCUUGCAAGCACCGUAUAGUAGUAGCAUUAUUGUAGACAAGAAAGGUGACUCUCCCUUGCAAGGGAAAAGUGGGCUGCGCCCACGCCACGUUUGUGCAAUGUCUGAGGUCGAAGGUUUG
rnacentral:lncRNA from 1 species